rnacentral:tRNA from 1 species
GCCGGGGUGGCGGAAUGGCAGACGCACCGGUCUCAAAAACCGGCGGGGUUACACCCAUAAGGGUUCAACUCCCUUCCCCGGCA